GCUUAUUCUCAGGGCAGGGUGUAAUUCCUGACCGGCGGUAACCCCAAAAGGGAAGCCCGCGAGCGCCUGGCGGUUCAUCUGCCAGGGUCUAGCAGAUCUGGUGUAAAUCCAGAGCCGACGGUAAUAGUCCGGAUGGGAGAGGAUAAAG
rnacentral:ncRNA from 2 species